UUUCUUUUUUUCUUUUUCUUUUUUCUUUUUCGUUCUUCUCUUUUUCUUCCUUU
rnacentral:ribozyme from 16 species